rnacentral:rRNA from 1 species
GACGAACCGUGCAAACGUUAUUCGGAAUCACUGGGCAUAAAGGGCGCGUAGGCGGCUUUCUAAGUCAGGGGUGAAAUCCGGCAGCUCAACUGUCGCAGUGCCUUUGAUACUGGAGAGCUCGAGGGAGGUAGGGGUCUGUGGAACUUCCGGUGGAGCGGUGAAAUGCGUUGAUAUCGGAAGGAACGCCGGUGGCGAAAGCGACGGACUGGAUCUCUUCUGACGCUGAGGCGCGAAAGCCAGGGGAGCAAACGGGG